GACGAACGCUGGCGGCGUGCUUAACACAUGCAAGUCGAGCGGUAAGGCCCUUCGGGGUACACGAGUGGCGAACGGGUGAGUAACACGUGGGUGAUCUGCCCUGCACUUCGGGAUAAGCCUGGGAAACUGGGUCUAAUACCGGAUAGGACUCCUGGCUUCAUGGUUGGGGGUGGAAAGCUUUUGCGGUGUGGGAUGGGCCCGCGGCCUAUCAGCUUGUGGGUGGGGUAAUGGCCUACCAAGGCGACGACGGGUAGCCGGCCUGAGAGGGUGACCGGUCACACGGGGACUGAGAUACGGCCCAGACUCCUACGGGAGGCAGCAGUGGGGAAUAUUGCACAAUGGGCGCAAGCCUGAUGCAGCGACGCCGCGUGAGGGAUGACGGCCUUCGGGUUGUAAACCUCUUUCAGCUAUGACGAAGCGCAAGUGACGGUAGUAGCAGAAGAAGGACCGGCCAACUACGUGCCAGCCGCCGCCGUAA
rnacentral:rRNA from 1 species